UACGAAGGGGGCUAGCGUUGCUCGGAAUUAUUGGGCGUAAAGGGCUCGUAGGCGGUUUGUCGCGUCGGGAGUGAAAACUCAGGGCUUAACCCUGAGCCUGCUUCCGAUACGGGCAGACUAGAGGUAUGCAGGGGAGAACGGAAUUCCUGGUGUAGCGGUGAAAUGCGGCAGAAUAUCAGGAGGAACACCGGUGGCGAAGGCGG
rnacentral:rRNA from 1 species